rnacentral:rRNA from 1 species
AUGAGCCAUGCGCCCGAGUUGGAGCGGCCCACGUGGUCCAUCCCCGGCGAGGUCACGAACGGAGUCACCAUGGAUGCCAGCGCGAAGGGGGAGCCCAAGAGGUCAUGCACCGUGACGAACCAGCCCUUGCGCUCCUUCCCGGCCACCUCCCGCUCUGUCUGCGCGACUGACGUCUGCAGGUCGCUGUUGGUGCGGCAGCCGAACUUGCAGGUGAACAUGGGUUGCUUCAUGCUGCCCCAGACCAUCACCUACGGGCUGCACUCCGUCUCGCCAUCGAACUCGAACACGAACCGCGGGUCAGGCUCCGCGCGGACGGUGAUGCUGAGCUCUGCAAUCGCGGACCCACCCUUGCCGCCAACACCGCACCUCCCGACGGAAAUCGAGCCGCUGUGCAGCACCGCGGGCUUGGCCUCAGUGCCCUUGAGAUCCAGCGAGAUGGUCGCCUUCCCGAACAGCUGCCCGGAGCUGACCCCACAUGUAGUCCCCUUGCAGCCUGCAUAG